GGUAGCUAAUACCGCAUAACGUCGCAAGACCAAAGUGGGGGACCUUCGGGCCUCAUGCCAUCAGAUGUGCCCAGAUGGGAUUAGCUAGUAGGUGGGGUAACGGCUCACCUAGGCGACGAUCCCUAGCUGGUCUGAGAGGAUGACCAGCCACACUGGAACUGAGACACGGUCCAGACUCCUACGGGAGGCAGCAGUGGGGAAUAUUGCACAAUGGGCGCAAGCCUGAUGCAGCCAUGCCGCGUGUGUGAAGAAGGCCUUCGGGUUGUAAAGCACUUUCAGCGGGGAGGAAGGCGUUAAGGUUAAUAACCUUGUCGAUUGACGUUACCCGCAGAAGAAGCACCGGCUAACUCCGUGCCAGCAGCCGCGGUAAUACGGAGGGUGCAAGCGUUAAUCGGAAUUACUGGGCGUAAAGCGCACGCAGGCGGUCUGUCAAGUCGGAUGUGAAAUCCCCGGGCUCAACCUGGGAACUGCAUUCGAAACUGGCAGGCUAGAGUCUUGUAGAGGGGGGUAGAAUUCCAGGUGUAGCGGUGAAAUGCGUAGAGAUCUGGAGGAAUACCGGUGGCGAAGGCGGCCCCCUGGACAAAGACUGACGCUCAGGUGCGAAAGCGUGGGGAGCAAACAGGAUUAGAUACCCUGGUAGUCCACGCCGUAAACGAUGUCGAUUUGGAGGUUGUGCCCUUGAGGCGUGGCUUCCGGAGCUAACGCGUUAAAUCGACCGCCUGGGGAGUACGGCCGCAAGGUUAAAACUCAAAUGAAUUGACGGGGGCCCGCACAAGCGGUGGAGCAUGUGGUUUAAUUCGAUGCAACGCGAAGAACCUUACCUGGUCUUGACAUCCACAGAACUUUCCAGAGAUGGAUUGGUGCCUUCGGGAACUGUGAGACAGGUGCUGCAUGGCUGUCGUCAGCUCGUGUUGUGAAAUGUUGGGUUAAGUCCCGCAACGAGCGCAACCCUUAUCCUUUGUUGCCAGCGGUCCGGCCGGGAACUCAAAGGAGACUGCCAGUGAUAAACUGGAGGAAGGUGGGGAUGACGUCAAGUCAUCAUGGCCCUUACGACCAGGGCUACACACGUGCUACAAUGGCAUAUACAAAGAGAAGCGACCUCGCGAGAGCAAGCGGACCUCAUAAAGUAUGUCGUAGUCCGGAUUGGAGUCUGCAACUCGACUCCAUGAAGUCGGAAUCGCUAGUAAUCGUAGAUCAGAAUGCUACGGUGAAUACGUUCCCGGGCCUUGUACACACCGCCCGUCACACCAUGGGAGUGGGUUGCAAAAGAAGUAGGUAGCUUAACCUUCGGGAGGGCGCUUACCACUUUGUGAUUCAUGACUGGGGUGAAGUCGUAACAAGGUAACCGUAGGGGAACCUGCGGUUG
rnacentral:rRNA from 1 species